rnacentral:lncRNA from 1 species
CGCAGACACACACACACACACACACACACACACACACACACGCCAGCCCGCAAACAGCUGAUCACACACCACACGCUCGUGCGACACUCUAUGAGUUCCGCGGCGACGGGACUCGCUGCUCUCAAGAGCUGAGAGCUGUGUAUGACAGCAGGAGUGGCGCCCUGUCGGGAGGGGGAGGAGCCUCCGUGCCGCCGCGGCUCCUGUAGGUGUCACUGGUGCACCGCGCUCCGGGGCCCCGCGGCAGCGGACCAUGGGAGCCGGAAACCCGCCGUCACGCGUGACCCCGACACGUAACGUAACACGUAAGUGCCACGGUUGUGCCACGGGUCACCGCACACCUGUCCUCUACACAGGUAAAGGAGAUCAGGACACGCGUGUCCAGGCUGCAGGUCACAUGGAACCGCAGCUGUGGUACCAGACUGGGAAGCGGUCAAAUCCUGGGAAAUGCACAAUGGAAAAUCUACCGAACAUGAACAUGCACACAAAGAUCCUGUGGCGGCAAGAGACACGUGAUGGUUUGCAGUGUGUGUGUGUGUGUGUGUGUGUGUGUGUGUGUGUGUGUCUACAUGGGGACAGUCUGGACCACCGAGACCUUUCUCCUUUGUGUUGAUGGCAGAUGUGAGGAUGAGAACCGGUGAGCUGACCAGGGGCGGUUGGGGACGAGGCCAGGAGCCCAAGAGGAGCUGCAGAGAUGCAUCGCUUCGAAGAAGACCGAAAGAAACAUUUUUCAUCAUCUCUCCUGAAUAUUGUGGGGAUUUUAGUGAAGUCCAUCGGUGUCAGGACCGUCGGGGACACGUGGCACACUGUCGUCCCCCGGCUCAGGGCCGAAGCGAAAGGCCUCUGUCAUGAGCCUCCGGUCAGAAAGGAGCUCUUGCGCUCUGUGUCCCGACCCCACAUGGAGGCACACAAACGAGGAGGGAAAACACACACGUGCGCACACACACACACACACACACACACACACACACACACACACACACACACACACUCACUCAUUCACUUCCUGCUGCAGUUUGUGUCCCUAUGCUGGACCUCAAGGACAUGAGACGCUCACCUGCAAGGUCCCUCGGAGCCCUGGGCCGUGCCGAGGAUCCCGCUCCUGCUCCAGCUUCGGCUCCGGCCGCUCUGAAUAAAUACGGCUCACGGCAGCGACUGGCA